UUGUUAGGUCCUUAGGUCGGGCACGCACAGGAGAGCAUCGUGGUCUUCAAGAAGUUGCUGGGCGCCAUGGGAGUCG
rnacentral:antisense_RNA from 1 species